GAAACCUUCAGGCUUUGCAAAGAUACAAUGAUCUCUAUAAAAACAUAGCAACACAAGAGAAAUUUGAGUUGUUAUAUGUUCACAAUAUGUACAUCUAUGUAGAGAUAGAUAUUUUUGUUUUCUUGUUUCCUUUCUGUUCCAGCAACUAUAAAUUUUAUGUUGGCCUCAGACUCUACAACAGAUAUCUCCAGUUUGAAGGACUCCACUUCGUUGAAAUAUACCUAGAGGCAAGAAGCCCACUACCUACGGAUGUUAUUUGCUCCUUUAGAAUUUAGUAUCAAAAGACAACUUAUGAUGCAGAACAUAGCUGGAUGCAUAAGAGAAGAACAGAAGAGAAAUACCAAAUCGGUCUCCUUGAAGCAUCAUACAAUAAUAACAGUAUUACUUAACAAUCCAGAUAUCAAGUGGUUUGAAGUACAAGUGAUAUUCAACAUCUUUUAUAACCAGCCUGGUCAGAAAAAGGCAGGCCACUGAGUAUUACCUGUUGAACGUUACCUAUAGAUGGAAAAUCUCCUUGGAUCACCAACAACACUGAAUAGGCAGCUGUUUUAAUGCUAUUUCAGGUGAAGGCUGUGAAUCUAAUUCAACAAUAAAAUUUAUACACAUUUUAUUAGAAUACA
rnacentral:lncRNA from 1 species